GGUCAAUUUUACUUAUUGGUACAGUUAAAUUAUUUGCUAUAUAAUUCCUAUAAUAUAGGGUCAGUGUUCGAUUCACUGAUUGGCCG
rnacentral:tRNA from 1 species